rnacentral:lncRNA from 10 species
GCACGGGCCUGCGAUCCCAGCUACUAGGGAGCUGAGGUGGUAGGAUUCCUUCAGUCUGGAAUGUCGAAGCUGGAUCAUGCCACUUGCACUGCAGCCUGGCUGACACAGUGAGACCCUGUCUCCAAAGAAAAUAAAUUUAACCAGACAUAAAAAAUAAUAAUUAGGAAAUGGUUGCUUUUCUUUGGAGAUGGAGAGAGGAAGUGGGCAAGUUGUCAUUUACCAUGCCCUCAUAUAUUUGGUCUUAAAUGACUGGGCUUUAGUAUAUAUUAAUAUAUAAGGUAUAACCUAAAAAUCUCAUGUAAAAGCUUAGUAGCAUUGUUGUAACAGUAACAUAUUUCAUUGUACUUCAGGACUGUCCAUGGAUGCAGUGUUACCAUCGAGGAGCUCGAGGCCGAGGUCGACUCUGGCACCCUGAUGACAAGUCUGGAGAUUCAGCAGUAGAAAGAAAGCAGGAAAGUGGUAUUAGCCAUAGAAAAGAAGAGGAGAGGCCGGGCGUGGUGGCUCAUGCCUGUAAUCCCAGCAUUUUGGGAGGCCGAUAUGGGUGGAUCACCUGAGGUCAGGACUUUGAGACCAGCCUGGCCAACAUGGUGAAACCCAGUCUCUACUAAAACUACAAAAAUUAGCCGGGCUUGGUGGCAGGCGCCUGUAGUCCCAGGUACUCGAGAGGCUGAGGCAGGAGAAUUGAUUAAACUCAGGAGGUGGAGGUUGCAGUAAGCCAUGAUCGUGCCACUGCACUCUAGCCUGGGUGACACUAGGGAGGCUCUAUCUCCAAAAAAAUUAAAAAAAAAUAAAGAGGAGAGGAGUACGCAGCAGAAGAGUAAGUUUUGUCUCAAAGAAGGAAUCUGGUCGGAGGUUCAGAAUUGGAAGUACAAUUUUAUUGUUUUUGCAAUUUCUAUAAAUUAAAGUGUCAGAAAAUGCUGAUGGCGAGGACAUGCAUUGCAAUUUGCAGGGGAAAUGUCAAGUGAGGACUUCAUCACGUGUGACACGAGAGAAAGAAUCAUCCAGGGAUGCAGCGUUACCAUCCAGGAGCUCGAAGCCAAGGUCGACUCUCGCACCCUGAUGACAUAACCAAGUCUGGAGAUUCAGCAGUAGAAAGAAAGCAGGAAAGUUGUAUUAGCCAUACAAAAGAAGAGGAGAGGCUGGGUGUGAUGGUUCACGCCUGUAAUCCCAGCACCUUGGGAGGCCGAGGCGGGUGGAUUACCUGAGGUCAGGAGUUUGAGACCAGCCUGGUCAACAUGGUGAAACCCCAUCUCUACUGAAAAUACAAGAACUAGCCAGGC